rnacentral:rRNA from 1 species
CGCGGCCUAUCAGCUUGUUGGUGGGGUAACGGCCUACCAAGGCAUCGACGGGUAGCUGGUCUGAGAGGAUGAUCAGCCACACUGGGACUGAGACACGGCCCAGACUCCUACGGGAGGCAGCAGUGGGGAAUCUUGCGCAAUGGGCGAAAGCCUGACGCAGCAACGCCGCGUGCGGGAAGAAGGCUCUCGGGUUGUAAACCGCUUUCAGCAGGAACGAAAAUGACGGUACUUGCAGAAGAAGGUGCGGCCAACUACGUGCCAGCAGCCGCGGUGACACGUAGGCACCAAGCGUUGUCCGGAUUUAUUGGGCGUAAAGAGCUCGUAGGCGGUUCGGUAAGUCGGGUGUGAAAACUUUGGGCUCAACCCAAAGCCUGCAUCUGAUACUGCUGUGACUAGAGUUCGGUAGGGGAGCGGGGAAUUCCUAGUGUAGCGGUGAAAUGCGCAGAUAUUAGGAGGAACACCGGUGGCGAAGGCGCCGCUCUGGGCCGAUACUGACGCUGAGGAGCGAAAGCGUGGGUAGCAAACAGGAUUAGAUACCCUGGUAGUCCACGCCGUAAACGUUGGGCACUAGGUGUGGGUUUCAACCAACGAAAUCCGCGCCGUCGCUAACGCAUUAAGUGCCCCGCCUGGGGAGUACGG